rnacentral:tRNA from 1 species
GGACCUCUAACUCAGCAGGUUAGAGUAGCCGGCUCAUAACCGGCCUGUCCUGGGUUCGAGUCCCAGGAGGUCCA